rnacentral:rRNA from 1 species
AUGAACGCUAGCGGCAGGCUUAACACAUGCAAGUCGAGGGGCAACACGGGUAGCAAUACCUGGUGGCGACCGGCGCAAGGGUGCGUAACGCGUGAGCAACAUGCCCUAUACAGGGGGAUAAUCCAGGGAAACUUGGUCUAAUAUCCCAUAGUAUUUAGAGGUGGCAUCACCACUAAAUUAAAGCUUCGGUGGUAUAGGAUUGGCUCGCGUGACAUUAGCUGGAUGGUGGGGUAACGGCUCACCAUGGCGAUGAUGUCUAGGGGUUCUGAGAGGAAGACCCCCCACACUGGGACUGAGACACGGCCCAGACUCCUACGGGAGGCAGCAGUGAGGAAUAUUGGACAAUGGAUGGAAAUCUGAUCCAGCCAUGCCGCGUGCAGGAAGACGGCCCUAUGGGUUGUAAACUGUUUUAUAUGGGAGCAAUAAGGUUUACGCGUAGACCGAUGAGAGUACCAUAUGAAUAAGCAUCGGCUAACUCCGUG